rnacentral:rRNA from 1 species
AUUGAACGCUGGCGGCAGGCUUAACACAUGCAAGUCGAACGAUGACUCUCCAGCUUGCUAGAGAAGAUUAGUGGCGGACGGGUGAGUAACAUUUAGGAAUCUGCCUAGUAGUGGGGGAUAGCUCGGGGAAACUCGAAUUAAUACCGCAUACGACCUACGGGUGAAAGGGGGCGCAAGCUCUUGCUAUUAGAUGAGCCUAAAUCAGAUUAGCUAGUUGGUGGGGUAAAGGCCCACCAAGGCGACGAUCUGUAACUGGUCCGAGAGGAUGAUCAGUCACACCGGAACUGAGACACGGUCCGGACUCCUACGGGAGGCAGCAGUGGGGAAUAUUGGACAAUGGGGGCAACCCUGAUCCAGCCAUGCCGCGUGUGUGAAGAAGGCCUUUUGGUUGUAAAGCACUUUAAGCAGGGAGGAGAGGCUAAUGGUUAAUACCCAUUAGAUUAGACGUUACCUGCAGAAUAAGCACCGGCUAACUCUGUGCCAGCAGCCGCGGUAAUACAGAGGGUGCGAGCGUUAAUCGGAAUUACUGGGCGUAAAGCGAGUGUAGGUGGCUCAUUAAGUCACAUGUGAAAUCCCCGGGCUUAACCUGGGAACUGCAUGUGAUACUGGUGGUGCUAGAAUAUGUGAGAGGGAAGUAGAAUUCCAGGUGUAGCGGUGAAAUGCGUAGAGAUCUGGAGGAAUACCGAUGGCGAAGGCAGCUUCCUGGCAUAAUAUUGACACUGAGAUUCGAAAGCGUGGGUAGCAAACAGGAUUAGAUACCCUGGUAGUCCACGCCGUAAACGAUGUCUACUAGCCGUUGGGGUCCUUGAGACUUUAGUGGCGCAGUUAACGCGAUAAGUAGACCGCCUGGGGAGUACGGCCGCAAGGUUAAAACUCAAAUGAAUUGACGGGGGCCCGCACAAGCGGUGGAGCAUGUGGUUUAAUUCGAUGCAACGCGAAGAACCUUACCUGGUCUUGACAUAGUGAGAAUCCUGCAGAGAUGCGGGAGUGCCUUCGGGAAUUCACAUACAGGUGCUGCAUGGCUGUCGUCAGCUCGUGUCGUGAGAUGUUGGGUUAAGUCCCGCAACGAGCGCAACCCUUUUCCUUAUUUGCCAGCGGGUUAAGCCGGGAACUUUAAGGAUACUGCCAGUGACAAACUGGAGGAAGGCGGGGACGACGUCAAGUCAUCAUGGCCCUUACGACCAGGGCUACACACGUGCUACAAUGGUAGGUACAGAGGGUUGCUACACAGCGAUGUGAUGCUAAUCUCAAAAAGCCUAUCGUAGUCCGGAUUGGAGUCUGCAACUCGACUCCAUGAAGUCGGAAUCGCUAGUAAUCGCAGAUCAGAAUGCUGCGGUGAAUACGUUCCCGGGCCU